rnacentral:sRNA from 1 species
AGUGCCUCCGGGUCCACCGCACGGGACGCCACCAGGUAGUCCCGCAUGACCAUGGAGUGCCGGGCCUC